rnacentral:rRNA from 1 species
AACGAACGCUGGCGGCAGGCUUAACACAUGCAAGUCGAGCGGACCCUUCGGGGUUAGCGGCGGACGGGUGAGUAACGCGUGGGAAUAUGCCCUUCUCUACGGAAUAGUCCUGGGAAACUGGGGGUAAUACCGUAUACGCCCUUUGGGGGAAAGAUUUAUCGGGGAAGGAUUAGCCCGCGUUGGAUUAGGUAGUUGGUGGGGUAAUGGCCUACCAAGCCGACGAUCCAUAGCUGGUUUGAGAGGAUGAUCAGCCACACUGGGACUGAGACACGGCCCAGACUCCUACGGGAGGCAGCAGUGGGGAAUCUUAGACAAUGGGGGCAACCCUGAUCUAGCCAUGCCGCGUGAGUGAUGAAGGCCUUAGGGUUGUAAAGCUCUUUCAGCUGGGAAGAUAAUGACGGUACCAGCAGAAGAAGCCCCGGCUAACUCCGUG